rnacentral:rRNA from 1 species
ACGAACGCUGGCGGCGUGCUUAACCCCUGCCAGUCGAACGGGUCUGCCCUGUUUUUUGCGGGGUGGGUCAGUGGCGAACGGGUGAGUAACACGUGAGUAACCUGCCCCUCACUUCUGGAUAACCGCUUGAAAGGGUGGCUAAUACGGGGUGUUCUGGCUGUGCCGCAUGGUGUGGCUGGGAAAGAUUCACUUUUGUGGUGUUUUGGUGGGGGAUGGGCUCGCGGCCUAUCAGCUUGUUGGUGGGGUGAUGGCCUGCCAAGGCUUUGACGGGUAGCCGGCCUGAGAGGGUGGGCGGUCACGCUGGGGCUGAGGUACGGCCCGGACUGCUGCGGGAGGCAGCAGUGGGGGGUAUUGCACAAUGGGCGGAAGCCUGAUGCAGCGGCGUCGCGUGAGGGAUGGAGGCCUUCGGGUUGUGAACCUCUUUCGCCGGUGAAGAAGGUCCUGCUCUUUGUGGUGGGGUUGACGGUAGCCGGGUUAUGAAGCGCCGGCUAACUACGUG